rnacentral:lncRNA from 1 species
AAUAGUCUAUCUGAAAUCACACGCAGACACUAGCCAAACUACGAUCCAAAUAGUAUGCAAAGGACAUUGCUGGUGCUGCUCAACUGUCUGGAAACCCUAUGGCACGUUAUGUAUUUACAAAGUAAUUUAAAAUAUUUUUUUGAACUCGCUUUUUUAAUUAAUUUGUUUUUUUAAGGAGGAAAAGUUUUAUCAAUAACAUGUUAUGUUAAGUCCGUGGUGUGAGAUUACAGCUAUUAUUUUAACUUGAAAUGUUUACCGUGUUCCUAUCUGAAUUUCUUGGACUGAGAAGCAGUUCCAUAUCCAUGGCAUCUUGUAGUGCAGCAGCGGUGACGAGCCUUGCUACCCUGUCACCUUGGCGUUUUCCCGCGCGCGCCCUCGAAGUCAUUGCAUUUCCAUGGGCUAUAGCGCCGCUCAGUGGAUAUGUCUGAUCUUUUCUGCUCACUUACACUUCAUGGAAAUCUUAGACGAUAAUAAUCAGAGACGUCAUGUGCUUCACUCCUUUAUUUUCUUGUUCGAAUGUUUAAAUUUGUAAUUUCCCGGACGUUAUAUUAUGUUAUAUUUUCUGUAAUGAUCCCUUAAUAAGAAGCAUUGCGCGUGACUCUGUAAACUGACCACGCGGUGUUUGUUGACGUAGUGUGUAGCCUGUUCACAAACACGACUGGAAGGAAAUAACACUGUUGAAAAAUAAGUCACAGAUGCGGAAAUCAGAGAAGGACCUUAAAUGGGAGCAAUUCUAGUUAAAUAGAAGAAGAUGGAGAAUUAUCGAUCCCUUAUCCCGAAGGUAUCCACCGUAUGCAGAUGUCCCAAAGGUGCACCAGAGAAGGGUCCUGAGAGCGUCGGGGUGGUGGCCCAGCGCUGCACCCGCAACAUUGUUGGAGCAGAGCACCAUCUUCAGGAGCCAGACUGGAGCGGAUACAAGAGCCCUGCAGCACACCAACACAUGUGAACAUCCUUUAUGAGAUUACAGCCCAACCUCAGAUGCUGCCCGGCACACCGAGAUCAGAUCAUGUUUAUGGCAGAUGUCCACCUUUGUCAUCGAGUCCUUCUAACUGAACUUGGCAAUGGAGGGGCACCUUUAGAACCUGCUGGCCCUGCGCUGAAAGGAGAGAUGCGGUGCUCACGUCAUGCCUUUCUUGCUGUAAUAACAGUCACCGAGCCUUCAACCCUACCGCAUUCAGCUAUAAUUGCCCCCGACAGCAGGGCAAAUCAUCAGCGCAGGGAUCUGAUAAGCAUUACAGCCAGAUGACAGCACACAGAAGUGUAUUAGCAACACUGUGACAUAUCGCAUUACCACUGUGAAUAAAAUAAAGCCAAUAUAGAACACUGUGGCAGUCAAGUG